rnacentral:lncRNA from 1 species
UGAUAGCCUAAAGGACUAUCAAACACGAAAUGGACACUAAAGGAACAAAAAUCAGCAAGUUCACAAAGAGAAAACAACACACUAGAAGGAGAUGAAGAAGAAGAAUUGCAUGAAAUUAAAGAUAGAUAGAGAGACCCUCACUUCCACCAAUGAAUAGCACUAGAAGGUGUAUCAAACCUUCAAACACACAUCACCAAUGUAAGAUCAA